rnacentral:tRNA from 1 species
GCGGGCGUAAUUCAGUUGGUAGAAUGCCAGCUUCCCAAGCUGGACGUCGCCGGUUCGAGUCCGGUCGCCCGCUCUA